AUGCCCAUCUCAGUGGCAGAUACACUAAAACUGCAACAAUACAGAGAAGAUUGGCAUGGCCCCUGCACAAGAUGACACACAAAUUUAUGAAGUGUUCCAUGUUAAA